GACGAACGCUGGCGGCGUGCCUAAUACAUGCAAGUAGAACGCUGAAGGAGGAGCUUACUUCUCUGGAUGAGUUGCGAACGGGUGAGUAACGCGUAGGUAACCUGCCUGGUAGCGGGGGAUAACUAUUGGAAACGAUAGCUAAUACCGCAUAAGAGUAGAUGUUGCAUGACAUUUACUUAAAAGGUGCAAUUGCACCACUACCAGAUGGAUCUGCGUUGUAUUAGCUAGUUGGUGGGGUAACGGCUUACCAAGGCGACGAUACAUAGCCGACCUGAGAGGGUGACCGGCAACACUGGGACGGAGAACCGGCCCAGACUCCUACGGGAGGCAGCAGUAGGGAAUCUUCGGCAAUGGACGGAAGUCUGACCGAGCAACGCCGCGUGAGUGAAGAAGGUUUUCGGAUCGUAAAGCUCUGUUGUAAGAGAAGAACGAGUGUGAGAGUGGAAAGUUCACACUGUGACGGUAUCUUACCAGAAAGGGACGGCUAACUACGUGCCAGCCGCCGCGGUAA
rnacentral:rRNA from 1 species